CAACCCUCAAGCCUGGCUUGGUGUUGGGGCACCGCCUGUAAAAGGGCGGGCCCUGAAAUCUAGUGGCGAGCUCGCCAGGACCCCGAGCGUAGUAGUUUAUAUCUCGCUCUGGAAGGCCCUGGCGGUGCCCUGCCGUUAAACCCCCAACUUCUGAAAUU
rnacentral:misc_RNA from 1 species